GACGAACGCUGGCGGCGUGCUUAACACAUGCAAGUCGAACGGAAAGGCCCUGCUUUUUUGUGGUGCUCGAGUGGCGAACGGGUGAGUAACACGUGAGUAACCUUCCCUUUACUUUGUGAUAACUUCAGGAAACUGGUGCUAAUACCGGAUAGGAGCGCCUGCUGCAUGGUGGGGGUUGGAAAUUUUCGUCGGUUGGGGAUGGACUCGCGGCUUAUCAGCUUGUUGGUUGGGUAGUUGCUUACCAAGGCUUUGACGGGUAGCCGGCCUGAGAGGGUGACCGGCCACAUUGGGACUGAGAUACGGCCCAGACUCCUACGGGAGGCAGCAGUGGGGAAUAUUGCACAAUGGGCGGAAGCCUGAUGCAGCAACGCCGCGUGCGGGAUGACGGCCUUCGGGUUGUAAACCGCUUUCGCCUGUGACGAAGCGUGAGUGACGGUAAUGGGUAAAGAAGCACCGGCUAACUACGUG
rnacentral:rRNA from 1 species